GGACAGGCUCCCCAGUACUGGAGACUCCACCUGCAAGGGCACCUUUGCUCUCCUCCACCAGCUGAGAAAAGUAAUGUCAUCUGAACCUGCUGCACCAGCAACACUUUGGCAGAACUACCUGCAAGAGAAUAAGAGGCAGCUACCCAGCCUCUUCUAUAAGCUCUAGAGAAGGUGCUACUUGUUCCUGUAUCUCAUCUGCUGUGUCUGCCCAGGUUGGGGCCCAUGAAUCUGGCCUGCCAGUGUGCCCUUCUAUGCUGGGCCCGCAGCUUCACACUGCGGCUGCUGACCAGCUGGAACUCAGAGCCAGAAAAGACAUCUCGAUCUCAUGGGGCUCAUCAUUUGUCUAGCCUGGCUCUGGCCAACCAUUCAGGGGACUGCAGACAAGCCUUAACCCAUGGAGGGAGCCCAGAUGAAGAUGAAGAUGAAGAUGAAGCCUGGGCUGCUCACAAGUCAUCCAUGAACCCACAAGACCCUUCGUACCCCGCAAACAAGGAGUUGUAAAGUAAAGCUUCUGAAGGUUUCUGCCACCAUGCCAAAUGCAGGCCUCCAGCCCGAAUGGGAUCACCCCCACUUCAUCACUCCUGGACUCUCUGUUUGCCAAACCAUCAAGAUCUAGGACAUGUUCUCUUCUUUUUAUCCCAACACCAUAAACUAUAAUGAGUGUGGAGUGCU